rnacentral:rRNA from 1 species
UACAGAGGUCUCAAGCGUUGUUCGGAUUCAUUGGGCGUAAAGGGUGUGUAGGUGGCGCGCUAAGUCGGGUGUGAAAUUUCGGAGCUUAACUCCGAAACUGCAUUCGAUACUGGCGUGCUUGAGGACUGGAGAGGAGACUGGAAUUCAUGGUGUAGCAGUGAAAUGCGUAGAGAUCAUGAGGAAGACCAGUGGCGAAGGCGGGUCUCUGGACAGUUCCUGACACUGAGACGCGAAAGCGUGGGUAGCAAACAGG